GAGAAUCGAACAUGUACUGCAUUGCAAAUUAAACACAAAAUGAUGGUGAUGAUGCACUUCAGCAAUUGGAUGGGUGGAAGAGCAGACAGCGCAGAGCCGCAGAAGAAGUUGGAAUCCAAAGAAUCAGAGUGGAUUGCUCAAAUUACACAAUUGGAUCAUGGAGGCAGCCUGCUUACCGCACUUCUGGCAGUGGAAGAAGUUCUCCUUCCCUCCAACUCUGUUUGAAAUGCAUCAGAGUUUCAGUCAGGAAAAGGAAGAGGAAACACACCUGCAGAUGCCGCAGUCCUUGCAGUGGUAAUGCUCCUUAUCAACCUGCACACAAGAGUAAAAUCUCAUCAACCACCAUCAAAUCCAGCAGAAGUAAAGGAACCAUCCAACAAUGGCUUGGGGUCUCGAUCAAUCGAUCUCACAUUGUCGUCGAAGAAUUUGCACGCACUGCAGAAGUACUCCCCCAUGCAGACGCCGCAGUUGUUGCACAAUUGCGCCACCUGAUCACCAAAUCUGUUAUGA